GACGAACGCUGGCGGCGUGCUUAACACAUGCAAGUCGUACGGUAAGGCCCUUUCGGGGGUACACGAGUGGCGAACGGGUGAGUAACACGUGAGUAACCUGCCCACAACUUUGGGAUAACGCUAGGAAACUGGGGCUAAUACUGGAUAUGUGCUCCUGCUGCAUGGUGGGGGUUGGAAAGCUCCGGCGGUUGUGGAUGGACUCGCGGCCUAUCAGCUUGUUGGUGGGGUAGUGGCCUACCAAGGCGGCGACGGGUAGCCGGCCUGAGAGGGUGACCGGCCACAUUGGGACUGAGAUACGGCCCCGACUCCUACGGGAGGCAGCAGUGGGGAAUAUUGCACAAUGGGCGCAAGCCUGAUGCAGCAACGCCGCGUGCGGGAUGACGGCCUUCGGGUUGUAAACCGCUUUCAGCAGGGACGAAGCUUUUUGUGACGGUACCUGCAGAAGAAGCACCGGCUAACUACGUG
rnacentral:rRNA from 1 species